rnacentral:rRNA from 1 species
CAGCCGCCGCGGUAAUACGAAGGGGGCUAGCGUUGUUCGGAUCAACUGGGCGUAAAGGGCGCGUAGGCGGGUUUUUAAGUCAGAGGUGAAAUCCCAAGGCUCAACCUUGGAACUGCCUUUGAUACUGGAAAUCUUGAGUCCGGGAGAGGUGAGUGGAACUGCGAGUGUAGAGGUGAAAUCCGUAGAUAUUCGCAAGAACACCAGUGGCGAAGGCGGCUCACUGGACCAUAACUGACGCUGAGGCACGAAAGCUAGGGGAGCGAACAGGAUUAGAUACCCCAGUAGUCCCUGUCUCUUAUAC